AUUUUUGUAGCUUAGUUAGAGCAUUGUUUUGAAGAAGCAGGGGAAGAUUUGUUCUCAAAAGUA
rnacentral:tRNA from 1 species